UACGUAGGGUGCAAGCGUUAAUCGGAAUUACUGGGCGUAAAGCGUGCGCAGGCGGUUAUAUAAGACAGUUGUGAAAUCCCCGGGCUCAACCUGGGAACUGCAUCUGUGACUGUAUAGCUAGAGUACGGUAGAGGGGGAUGGAAUUCCGCGUGUAGCAGUGAAAUGCGUAGAUAUGCGGAGGAACACCGAUGGCGAAGGCAAUCCCCGUGGACCUGUACUGACGCUCAUGCACGAAAGCGUGGGGAGCAAACAGG
rnacentral:rRNA from 1 species